UGUAGUAGCACAGGGAGGUGAAGCAGGUUUCUACGGGAAUAUACUACUGCUUUUGGACAUGUACGGACAACUGUGCAUUUUCCCUGAAAUUUCCCAGCAAAACUAAUACGUCAUGUCCUCUUCAUUAUUAUUUUCAUUAUUUUGUUCCUCAAAAACAAAGGAUUAUGUCAUGGGAGGUAGUUUGAACUCUGAGUUGAUGAGCGGAAACAGGAAAUGCAUGAAGUGUUUACCACGGCCUGACACACCGUCACAUAUCUCCUUCUCUGAUGCCAACAUCAGCCGGAGAUUCCUUCACUACGACCAUCACUUAUUCAAUGGAGUAGGUGGAGGAGAGGAAUCUGACGGCACAGAGGGAUUCCUGAGAUGUAAACACACACAAAAAAAGGGCUGUGAUCAACAAGUGUGGUCCGGCUGCCAGAACACGACUGCAGUGUGUUAAAAACUCUUCUGGAAAAACCUGCAGAUUUAAAGGAGAGCGGAGAAGAAAAGGGAGGUGUCACGCAAUGAGGGAUGUGUUUAUGGGUUUUGGGACUGUAUGUAUGCUUUAGUGAUUAUUGCAAUGCAAGACUUGUGUCAAGGAACGUAAUCAAAGCAGCCGACAGCCAGAGGAGUCGUUUCUGAGGACUGAGGGGCGGCUCCGCUCCUCCGCUCCAAAUCGAGGAUCAUAACCUCACCGCUCUCCUCCAUGAAGGCCCCUGUGUGGUUUCCGUCCUUUUGUCCUAAUCCAAGCCAGAGAUGUGAUUCAUGAAAAGCCCGAGUGUUUCAUUUCAAAGGAGCUACGUAAUAAAAAUGGUAACCUCC